rnacentral:rRNA from 1 species
UACGGAGGGGGCCAGCGUUGUUCGGAAUCAUUGGGCGUAAAGGGCGCGUAGGCGGCUUUGUAAGUCCGUUGUGAAAUCCCUCGGCUCAACCGAGGAACUGCGACGGAUACUGCUUGGCUUGAGUCCCGGAGAGGGUAGCGGAAUUCCCAGUGUAGCGGUGAAAUGCGUAGAUGUUGGGAGGAACAUCGGUGGCGAAGGCGGCUACCUGGACGGGUACUGACGCUGAGGCGCGAAAGCUAGGGGAGCAAACAGG